rnacentral:rRNA from 1 species
GAUGAACGCUAGCUACAGGCUUAACACAUGCAAGUCGAGGGGCAUCAGGAAGAAAGCUUGCUUUCUUUGCUGGCGACCGGCGCACGGGUGAGUAACACGUAUCCAACCUGCCCUUUACUCGGGGAUAGCCUUUCGAAAGAAAGAUUAAUACCCGAUGGCAUAAUGAUUCCGCAUGGUUUCAUUAUUAAAGGAUUCCGGUAAAGGAUGGGGAUGCGUUCCAUUAGGUUGUUGGUGAGGUAACGGCUCACCAAGCCUUCGAUGGAUAGGGGUUCUGAGAGGAAGGUCCCCCACAUUGGAACUGAGACACGGUCCAAACUCCUACGGGAGGCAGCAGUGAGGAAUAUUGGUCAAUGGGCGCUAGCCUGAACCAGCCAAGUAGCGUGAAGGAUGAAGGCUCUAUGGGUCGUAAACUUCUUUUAUAUAAGAAUAAAGUGCAGUAUGUAUACUGUUUUGUAUGUAUUAUAUGAAUAAGGAUCGGCUAACUCCGUGCCAGCAGCCGCGGUAAUACGGAGGAUCCGAGCGUUAUCCGGAUUUAUUGGGUUUAAAGGGAGCGUAGGUGGACUGGUAAGUCAGUUGUGAAAGUUUGCGGCUCAACCGUAAAAUUGCAGUUGAUACUGUCAGUCUUGAGUACAGUAGAGGUGGGCGGAAUUCGUGGUGUAGCGGUGAAAUGCUUAGAUAUCACGAAGAACUCCGAUUGCGAAGGCAGCUCACUGGACUGCAACUGACACUGAUGCUCGAAAGUGUGGGUAUCAAACAGGAUUAGAUACCCUGGUAGUCCACACAGUAAACGAUGAAUACUCGCUGUUUGCGAUAUACAGUAAGCGGCCAAGCGAAAGCAUUAAGUAUUCCACCUGGGGAGUACGCCGGCAACGGUGAAACUCAAAGGAAUUGACGGGGGCCCGCACAAGCGGAGGAACAUGUGGUUUAAUUCGAUGAUACGCGAGGAACCUUACCCGGGCUUAAAUUGCAGUGGAAUGAUGUGGAAACAUGUCAGUGAGCAAUCACCGCUGUGAAGGUGCUGCAUGGUUGUCGUCAGCUCGUGCCGUGAGGUGUCGGCUUAAGUGCCAUAACGAGCGCAACCCUUAUCUUUAGUUACUAACAGGUCAUGCUGAGGACUCUAGAGAGACUGCCGUCGUAAGAUGUGAGGAAGGUGGGGAUGACGUCAAAUCAGCACGGCCCUUACGUCCGGGGCUACACACGUGUUACAAUGGGGGGUACAGAAGGCAGCUAGCGGGUGACCGUAUGCUAAUCCCAAAAGCCUCUCUCAGUUCGGAUCGAAGUCUGCAACCCGACUUCGUGAAGCUGGAUUCGCUAGUAAUCGCGCAUCAGCCACGGCGCGGUGAAUACGUUCCCGGGCCUUGUACACACCGCCCGUCAAGCCAUGGGAGCCGGGGGUACCUGAAGUACGUAACCGCAAGGAUCGUCCUAGGGUAAAGCUGGUGACUGGGGCUAAGUCGUA